rnacentral:lncRNA from 1 species
UCCCAAUUAAUAUUUGAUUCUGUCCCAAUUAAAUGGUCAAUCAAAAACGGUAAAAUCUCUUAACCAGCGUGAAUCUCUCCAGAUUUCAGUUUCGAAAAUCAGUCAUUCUUCCACAUCUAUACCGAAAAUCAGAAUUUACAGGGUAAUAGUCAAUCAAAUUGUAGUUCUUCCAGAUUUCAGUUUCGAAAAUCUUUCAUUUUUCUGCAUCAAAUACUGAAAAUCAGAAUUUACAGC